UGACAUCACAUGACAUGCAUAAGCUAUAAGGAAGGGAGUUGUCCUUCACUCCAUGGAACAGAACUACAGGAUUGAAAUUGUAAAGCGAGAAGGACACAGGUAUCUUGCCCAUCACUUGGAGCCCACACAAGUUUGCUGAGCGUCUGAGGACAGCAGAGGAGGACAAGCAAACAUGAAGGUGGAGAUGUGGAAGGUGCACGCCACGCUACAGUCGGCGCUGGAUGGCAACGUGGUGAUUUCGACACCUCCAAAUGUGGACAUUCAGCAGAUCUUAAAUCAGCUAGAUCGACAACAAAGGGAUAAGAUGGUGGCCUACAUUAAUACGUUGGAGUAUGAGAAGGAAGCGGCCUCUUUCCUCGCUAUCAAAGAGAAGGAAGACCUCAAGUACCAAGCUGUGAAGGAGAAGGAGGCCUUGAAGGAGAUGGAAAAUGCCUCACGCCAAGCUGUGAAGGAGAUGGAAGAGGGGUUCACGGCGAAAAAAGAGGUCUUAUGCCAAGCUGUGAAGGAGAAGGAAGAGGCCUUACACCGAACUGUAAUGGAGAAGGAAGAGGUGUUGAAGGAGAAAGAAGAGGUCUUGAAGGAGAAGGAAGAGGUCUUGAAGAAGAUAAAGGCCUUACACCGAGAUGUGGAGGAGAAGGAAAAGACGUUGAGGGAGAAAGAAGAGGAUUUGAAGUCGAAAGACUGGGACUUAAACCAAGCUGUGACGAACAAGGAAGAUGUGUCGAAGGAGAAUAAAACGCUGUUGAAGGAGAAAAAAGAGGACUUGAAAAAGACAGACGCCUUAAGCCGAGUUGUGAAGAAGAGGGAAGAGGAGUUGGAGGAGAUGAAACAGGCCUUGAAGGAGAAAGACAAUAACAUUUCCCAAGCUAUGAAGGAGAAGAAAGAGGCCUUAGACCGAGCUAGGAAGGAGAAGGAAGAGAGGUUGAAGGAGAAGAAAGAGGCCGUAGACCGAGCUGUGAAGGAGAAGGAAGAGGACAAGAAGGAGAAAGAGGCCUUAAGCCGACUUCUGAAGAGGAGAUAAGAGGAGUUGGAGGAGAAGGAACAGGCCUUGAAGGAGAAAGACAUAAAAUAUUCCAAACCUAUGAAUGAGAUGAAAGAGGCCUUAGACCGAGCUGGGAAGGAGAAGGAAGAGAGGUUGAAGGAGAAGGAAUAGGACAAGAAGGAGAAAGAGGCCUUACGCGGAGAUGUGAAGGAGAAGGAAAAGGCCUUGAAGGAGAAAAAAGAGGCCUUAUACCGAGCUGGGAAGAAGGAGGAAGAGAGGUUGGAGGAGACAGAAAAGGCCUUGAACAAGAUGAAAGUGGUCACAAAGGAGAAUGAAGAGCUCUUGAAGCGGGUAGAAGAGUACUCAAAGAAGGAAGACAGCUUCAUAAAUGAGAUUUGGGAAUUAAAAAAUGAAGUUAACAGCUUAAAAUGUAAGGAAGGUAGAUUCUACCAUCUAACAUUACAAUAUUAUUAAGUUUGAGCCAUCUCUUGCAGUGAAGUUGUUUCGGGCAGAACAAGGUCAAGUUGAGCUAUUAGGAUACAAGAAAAAAGGUAUGAGAUGUCAACAUCAGCUCCUUGAGUGGCCUGAUAAUGAACUGUCUCAUUUGUAACUUGUAUUUAUGUGUCUUACCUUCACUGUAACUUGUAUUUCUGUAUCUUACCAAAUACCAACUUGGAAAAUGCGAGAAAGAUAAAAGUGGUGAAGGUACCAGCCAGGACCCGGACGAUGAGAUGCAGGCGGCCAAAAAGGCAAAAAAUAAGAAGCAAAAAUAAGGGCCGGUACCAUGGGCUCAGUGCUGCAGAGAGGUGUGGUACCAUGUGGCACCAUGUGGUACCAUGGGUUGAGUGCUGACCCAUGGUGUUUCUGACCCGGGGGGGAGGUCUUCAGAAGGGGGG